CUACGUCUAUCACCAUAGAGCCGGGAUAAGCUUCUAGGCAGCGGGCCGCCGCGUACCAUAGUACUGCAGCCAGUGGUCUGCGUGUGUAGGAGGACUGGACCGCUGUGGGUGGCUUUAGGCUUUUCUGCGAUGCAGAAUUGUGGCUCUAACCUCCACCCUUUGUCAAGCAGACAAAGGCCAAAGUCUUAGAAGAUUCCUCAAGAAAGUCUUUUAUUCACAUAUCCUGCUGUAGAGACCAUUCAUGGAGAAGAUUUCAUGUUGUCUGGAGAGGCCUAGUUCACAUUGCCAUCGGACUUCACUAUUCAGAGUUCCGUCAGCAAUCCGGUCAGAACAAUGGAGGUUUAGCAGAGAAUAAAAUAGUACAAGCAGUA